CGCACGGGUGAGUAACACGUAUCCAACCUGCCGUCUACUCUUGGACAGCCUUCUGAAAGGAAGAUUAAUACAAGAUGGCAUCAUGAGUCCGCAUGUUCACAUGAUUAAAGGUAUUCCGGUAGACGAUGGGGAUGCGUUCCAUUAGAUAGUAGGCGGGGUAACGGCCCACCUAGUCUUCGACGGAUAGGGGUUCUGAGAGGAAGGUCCCCCACAUUGGAACUGAGACACGGUCCAA
rnacentral:rRNA from 1 species